rnacentral:rRNA from 1 species
GAUGAACGCUAGCUAUAGGCUUAACACAUGCAAGUCGAGGGGAAACGGCAUUAUGUGCUUGCACAUUUUGGACGUCGACCGGCGCACGGGUGAGUAUCGCGUAUCCAACCUGCCCUUUACUUGGGGAUACCCCGUUGAAAGACGGCCUAAUACCCGAUGUAAUUCAUUGAUGGCAUCAGAUAUGAAUAAAAGAUUUAUCGGUAAAGGAUGGGGAUGCGUCUGAUUAGCUUGUUGGUGAGGUAAAGGCUCACCAAGGCAACGAUCAGUAGGGGUUCUGAGAGGAAGGUCCCCCACAUUGGAACUGAGACACGGUCCAAACUCCUACGGGAGGCAGCAGUGAGGAAUAUUGGUCAAUGGGCGCAAGCCUGAACCAGCCAAGUAGCGUGCAGGAAGACGGCCCUAUGGGUUGUAAACUGCUUUUAUACGAGAAUAAUUUGAUGCACGUGUGCGUUAUUGCAUGUAUCGUAUGAAUAAGGACCGGCUAAUUCCGUGCCAGCAGCCGCGGUAAUACGGAAGGUCCAGGCGUUAUCCGGAUUUAUUGGGUUUAAAGGGAGUGUAGGCGGUUUGUUAAGCGUGUUGUGAAAUUUAGGUGCUCAACAUUUAACUUGCAGCGCGAACUGUCAGACUUGAGUACACGCAACGUAUGCGGAAUUCAUGGUGUAGCGGUGAAAUGCUUAGAUAUCAUGAAGAACUCCGAUUGCGAAGGCAGCAUACGGGAGUGUAACUGACGCUUAAGCUCGAAGGUGCGGGUAUCGAACAGG